rnacentral:rRNA from 1 species
AGUAACUGCGAGUGAAGCGGGAACAGCUCAAAUUUCGAAUCUGGCGGUCCUCGGCCGUCCGAGUUGUAAUCUAGAGAAGCGUCUUCCGCGCUGGACCCGUGUACAAGUCUCCUGGAAGGGAGCAUCGUAGAGGGUGACAAUCCCGUCUCUGACACGGACUUACCAGGGCUUACGCGAUGCGCUCUCGACGAGUCGAGUUGUUUGGGAAUGCAGCUCAAAUCGGGUGGUAAACUCCAUCUAAAGCUAAAUACUGGCGAGAGACCGAUAGCGAACAAGUACCGUGAGGGAAAGAUGAAAAGGACUUUGGAAAGAGAGUUAAACAGUACGUGAAAUUGCUGGAAGGGAAACGCUCCAAGUCAGUCGCGUCGGCCGGGGAUCAACCCUGCGCGAGAUGAUCGUGCACGGGCGUACUUCCUGGUCGAUGGGUCAGCAUCGAUUUCGGCCGUCAGACAAGGCCGCGGAGGAACGUGGCACUCCUCGGAGUGUGUUAUAGCCUCCCGUGCGAACGUGAUGGCUGGGAUCGAGGAACCCUCGGG